UCUCUCUCUCUCUCUCUCUCUCUCUCGCACGGCACUUUUGAUUUUGAAGUAAUGUAACGAUUUCAUACUUACUGAAUGGUCACUCGUAACUUGUAGAUUUCAGAUUUGAUAUUUCUUAGUUUAUUUAGUAUUAUUUAGUGUUUUGUGGAAUCUGAACAAACAUUAUAUUAGUGUGUAACGGUGCCUAUUUUUGUGAAUUGUGGAGAAUUUUUUAACAAGCUGCAGCAAAGAAAGAAAACUGGUAUACCAAGAAGAGCAGAGAAAAGAAGGAACGACAGCAAAACGGCCAUACACACCCAAAGAAACUCAGGCCAGAGAGAGAGGAGCGGCAGCGGUAUUUGCAUUCCAAGUGGGAGAGAGGUGUUUACAUAUAACAACCCAAGAGUAGUCAACCCUAUAGCCGAAGUUCAUCGGGGAUAUACCGUAAACCUGAAAAAGUACGCUCUACACUAGCCCGAGUGACAGGAAGAGCUACUCCCACAUCGGCCAAUUUCUUCAAGUCUUGAUGUGGAUGACAUUGCCACCAUUUGAAAAUGUCUACAUUCCUAUCUACUCUCUUACAAGUGGUGUAUUAAUGUAGCCAUGUACACAUGUCUCUCAUUAUUCUCUCUCAGACUCAGUAUAGAGUAUUUAAUCUUUUUAGCUUUAUUAAAUAUGAUCUUCCCCAAUAAUCAAAUUUGAAUGCCAAUUUCCUUAAAAUCUGUAGAGUUCCUUUGAAUUUCCUAUAAAGAUAAGGUUGCAUCUUAAAACAUUAGUCAGGGAAAAAUUAGGUUACACUAUCAAAAAGUCACUAUUUGUCAUCUGGUUUAUCCAGGAUGUGGGCAGUCUACAUUGGAAUAAAUAAGUACGAAAUGAGUACGGAAAAGGCACGGAAAAAAUAACUUAAUUUCGUAUCAUACCAUACUUAAAAAAUAAUAUAGUACCGUAAUUUUGUACUGUUCUUGCAAGUGGAAAAAUACCAUACCGUACCGUAAUUCCGUACCAUUCUGUACCGUACUGCCACCCUUGACGACCUGUUAAUAAGGUUCUAGGCCAGAUGUUACAGCCGAUAAAUGCAUCCAAAUGGAGAAGCUACCAGCCCAUCACAAGGCUAGACGGUUAAGGUACCACGCUAAAUUUUAGCUACUUCAUUACAAAAAUACAAAAUGCAUAUAAUGAAAUUGAAAUAAGCAAAAGCAAUUCAUAUUUGAACACACAAAAUGGUCACAUGCUUACAUUGCCACAUGAACUCUGCUUAAGCAUGACAAAAUCACUUAAGUUUACAAAACAGAACACUGAAACAUUAUCCCCGAUACUUGGGCUUUCUGUAAUCACCACAAAUUCCUAGCUACAAAUGGAGAUGGCAAAGAUUAAGCACAAUUACUCACAUGUUACUUGGUCACGUACAACACCCCACCCUGUUGGGUCACACUCAUGUACAGUCUCACUGGACUGUUCCCUCAAGGUCUUUACAAAUGGGAUUCUAGAAUUGAAAAGGAGGAGGACGAGCCACCGUGUAGGCUCCUUUUAUAGCCGCUUGAGCUUGUGAAUUAUAAUGCAAUUAAAAUCAUUAAAAAGGCUUCAGUUCCCAAAUCUACUCAGAAAUUUAUGUAGCACAAUGAGUGAGUGUGUGCCACUUGGGACCCAAAGACAACAAAACAAUAAGUCACACACACACAACAUAAGAACCAUUCUCCUCCUUGCUGCCAAUUUGUACUAUGGACUCUGAAAAGGUAGGUGGAUGGGCGGGAAUUGAUCGCAGGAAAAUCUGUGCGCAGGCUUUUUCCGCGACACUUACCAUGUU